rnacentral:lncRNA from 1 species
GUGUUACCGACCCCACCCCCCCCUCAGGCCCCGCCCCCCGCUCCGGUGGCCCCGCCCCCUCCCGCCGCUCACCUCAGGCCCGUUCCGGUGGCGCCGCCGCGACGACCGGCGGCCGCCGCCGCGCACUGCGCAGGACCGGAAGUCACGUCCCGGGCUCGCUCGUGGGCGCCGCCAUGACACCGUACAACGGGCCGCGGGCAGCCAAUCAGAGCGCGGCGUUGCAUCCGGGGACCCGUCCGCCGGCAGACAACGGGCGCACGGCGGCCGCGUGGGCGCCGCCAUUUUGAUCCCACCCCCCCCUCCCCCGUUCGGAACCGGGAACCGGAACCGGAAACCGGAAACCGGAAACGGGACCGGGGAUGGGGCCUGGGCCCUGUCCGGUAGCGUCGGCCCCGUGGCUGAGGGGGAGAGGACGAGCGGCCAACGCGCAUGCGCAGAGGAGGGAGAAGCCGCCUUAGCCCCAGCACCGGAAGUGCGCCCGACGGGCGCCGCCAUGUUGCCGUACGAGCCCCAGCCAAUCAGCGCUCGGCAUCGCCAGCUCUCCACUCCCGCAGUGGGCGCCGCCAUCUUACCCUAGGAGCACGUGAUCGCCCGCAACCAAUCAGGACCAACCAUGGCAACGGCACCGUCCCCCCCGCGCCCCCCCCGCUGCCCCCCCCGCUAUUGGGAGGGUCAGGACGUCCUGGCCCGUUGGACCGACGGCCUCCUCUACCUGGGCACCAUCAAAAAGGUGGAUCCCGGUCGCUGUGGAUGCUUGGUCCAGUUUGAGGACAAUUCCCAGUUCCUGGUGCUAUGGAAGGACAUCAGCCCAGCUGCAGUCCCAGGUGAGGACCAAUCCUGCUGCGUCUGCUCCAGUCGGGUCCUGAGCCCCCAGAACCUGCUGGUCACAUGCUCCAAGUGCGGCCACGGUGGGUGACCCCCCCCCCCAAAACCCUCUUAAACCCCCCCAGAUCCCUCUUAACCCACCCUAAACCCUCUUAACCCCCCCCAAACCCCUCUUAACCCCCCAGACCCCUCUUAACCCCCCCCAGAUCCCUCUUAACCCCCCC